rnacentral:lncRNA from 1 species
CCACCGCCCGACGUAAUCUUUAUGUUUGGUUCGGGGACGAUGAGCAGGUCUAUGUCUAGCUUGCAGGCUUUUGCGAGGACAAGGUCGUGCGCUCGACGCGCCCUGCCCACGUUUACCUGCAAAAUCCGUAUACCAGGUUGAUCCUUGAGGUCCACUUUGGUUCAGUUCCCUGAGGUCGUUUCUGCAACGGAUUCGCGUCUUUCUACUGAAUUAAAAUUCCUACAAACUACAAAAAAUAAAUAAAUA